rnacentral:ncRNA from 1 species
UCAAGGGGUAAUGGUGAAAAGAAAUCCAACUUUGAAAAAGUAAGUAUACCUGGCCUGGACAUGGACAGGAUUAAUAAAUUGAUAGCUCUUUCUUGAUUCCAUGGGUGCCUGGCCGUUCUUGGUAGAGUGAUUUGUGUGGUUAAUCCCAAUAAGAGUGAGACUCUGGCAUGCUAACUAGUUACGCCCAAGUGGUCGGCGGCCCCCAACUUCUUAUAGUGACAAAUGGCAUUCAGCCACAAUAACAAGUCUGUGAUACCCGUAGAUGUCUGGGGCUGCACGCACGCUACACUGACUGGCUCAGCAUGUGCCUACCCUACACUGGCAGGCACAGGUAACCCAUUGAACCCCACUCAUGAUGGGGACCAGGGAUUGCAAUUAUUCCCCAUGAAUGAUAAAUUCCUAGUGCAUGUCAUAAGCUUGCAUGGAUUAAGUCCC